rnacentral:lncRNA from 1 species
UGGGUGAAAUAAACUUAGAAAGCAAAAGAUCCCAAACUAGUUAAUAUAGAGAGUUCAUAUCAUAAAAUGUCGAACCAUAGAUGAGGCUGGAAUUUCUAAAACAACAUAGUCAUAAGGUAGGCACGGCACAGCCUCCAAGCCAUGAACAAAAUAUACGUAACUAGAUCGCUACACAACUAAUAAAAGGAUAAAUCAACAUCAACUGUUAUUCCUAUAGUAAAAUAGUCCUACCAUACACGCUGAUGAUGAUCUCCUAAUUGUAGGUUGAUGGGAACCUUAGGAUGAUUUGUGCUUUAAUUUUCUAUUCCCAGAAGGUGCCCUGGGUGGUGUCCAUGGUGUGGUUUCUGCUCAUGGGGAGGCUUCUCUCCCUUACCUUUGGGUGGUAUUACAUAUUUGUGUGGCUCACUUAAGAGGUGUCUAUGAGGAGGUUUAGGUUCAUGAGGUGCUCCCUUUCCCUUACCCUUGGAUGGUUUGUCACCGGGGAAUGGUUUCAUGGAUGGCUUACCGUCAGGGAAUCCUUCAACAUGUGGAGGUUUACCCCCUGAGUGUCGUGGAGGUUUAUGUGUGUCCUCAACUUCCACAUUCAAUAGGUGUCUAUGAGGAGGUUUGGGUUCAUGAGGUGCUCCCUUUCCCUUACCCUUGGAUGGUUUGUCACCAGGGAAUCCUUCAACAUGCGGAGGUUUACCCCCUGAAUGUCGUGGAGGUUUACCACCUGAUUGUUGUGGAGGUUUAUGUGUGCCCUCAACUUCCACACUCAAUAGGUGUCUGUGAGGAGGUUUGGGUUCAUGAGGUGCCCCUUUUCCCUUACCCUUGGAUGGUUUGUCACCAGGGAAUCCUUCAACAUGUGGAGGUUUACCCCCUGAAUGUCGUGGAGGUUUACCACCUGAGUGCUGUGGAGGUUUAUGUGUGCCCUCAACUUCCACACUCAAUAAGUGUCUAUGAGGAGGUUUGGGUUCAUGAGGUGCUCCCUUUCCCUUACCCUUGGAUGGUUUUUCACCAGGGAAUGGCUUCAUGGGUGCUUUAUCGGUAGGGAACCCCUCAACAUGUGGAGGUUUACCCCCCGAGUGUCUUGGAGGUUUACCACCUGAAUGUCGUGGAGGUUUAUGUGUGCCCUCAACUUCCACACUCAAUAAGUUUCUAUGAGGAGGUUUUUCCCCAUGUGGUGGCUCCUGUCCUUUACCGCCAGGUCCACUGUGUAUUGGCGGUCGGUGUUCAGGGAAUGGCUUGUGUUGUGGUUGCUUCUCACCUGGGAAAGGCUUCCCCUUGGGAAGCUCAUUAUCAUGAUGUUGGUUAGCUAGAGAAGGAGUGAUGAUAAAAACCACCACUCCAACGAGAAACAAAAGCAAGCAGGCUUUAGACAUGUUUGGGAAUAUAUCUCUCGGUUUUGUUGUGCUUCACAAACUAUAACAUUUGCUGCCCUUUUAUAGUGGACGGAAAGCUAGACUAUGACGUCACCACACAUGCAAUUUUGCAUUUGUGCGGUGUUGAGUCGCUCUUUGGGUCCCAUGUGGCGUCGAAAUUUUUGACAAAUUUGCUACUGUGAAAAUCAUGACACCUUAAAGUUUAACUACUGUGAAAAACACGUUGCAAGAAUUUUGCGACAUACAUGGUUCUGCGGAUUUCAAUGUGAAAUAUUGAAUCUACAUUGCUUUUUGACAUUCUAAGGGGAUCACAUGCUAUAUAGUCAGUUUGUGAGAAGCUAAAUACCUUUAACAGGGAUGAGUCCAGAAAUAAUUUUAAGAGGUGAGAAUUAAAUUAUAAAAUUUAUGAGGAAUUAAAAGUCAUGGCAUAUAAAAAAAAACCCAAAGGGGUUAAAUUUUUUUCCACAUUUUUUAAAUUGCGAUUGGUUAAAGCUGUCGAGAGAUAUCGUUGACAAAUUGGUAUGAACAUAUGAAACUGUGGGAAAGUUCAGAGGCGAUUCUAGAGGUCGCAUGGGAACCGACCCUUAAAUGCAAAAUUACUAUUUAGAUCCUUUUAAUUUUUUAAAAUUUUAAAUUAAUAAAGAUAAAAUUAUAUAUAAAUUAUAAAAAAUUAAAAUUUUAUUCGACUUCCCUAAAAAAUUGUUCAUGGAAAAGUUGCAGAAAUUUGUCAUAAAAUAAGUACAGAUUUAAGUCACGAAACAUUAUCAAUAUAGGACAAAAUGGUAUGAACAUUUGAAACUGUGGAAAAGUUGCAGAAAUUUGUCAUAAAAUAAGUACAGAUUUGAGUCACGAAACAUUAUCAAUAUGUAAUUAUAGAUUAUGUUAAAAGAAUUCCCACUAAGUUUAUCUAUAAAAACAAAAUCCAUAGUACUGUAGAUAUGAUAAGCUUCUGAAAAUGAUAGGUGUUCCUUUUCAUCCACUCGAUGGGGUUAUGGGAAAAGGGGAAGAGUACGAAAGAAAGAAAAAUAACAGUUGGAUUUAACACGUGAAAGAUAUUAUAGUAUAUGUUUUUCGGAUAAAUCGAUUCAUUGGUUGGACCAGAUUGAAUAAUUUUUAUUAGUGUCGACCCCAAAUAUGAAUAUAUUAUUUUGAUGAAAUUAGUGGAUCCAUAACGCAAACUUUGAAUUUGGAGUAUUCAUUGUCUAGGCCCACCGGUACUGAGAACACUAUUAAAAUUUGAACUCUCUAACCCAUAACAAGUUGAUUAUGUUUAUUUAUAUAAUACCAGUUGCGGUUUAUUGGACUGCAUUCAAGGGAUUUAAUUCCAGCAAAUUAUUUCAGCUUUCAAAAGCUACUAUUAUAUAUGCGUUUUUUAUUUUAUUUUUAGGCUUAGUUUAUUUCCCUGAACAUAAUUUACGAAAAAUAUUUUUUGAAUUUUUUAUAUUUAUUUUAUAAAAAAUAACUUGGUCAACGGAAAAUAACUUAAAAGUCAAUAAAAAAUAAACUUUUUUUCCUGUAAAAUAAUUUAUCCUUCUAAAAAGCGCAAGUCAUUUUUCGAAAAAAGCUCAUUUAUGAGUAAUUUUAUUUUUUAUAAAAAUUAACUUAAAUCAAACUUAACAUUACUAUAUUAAUAAUAAAAUUUAUUUUUAUUUUUAAAAAAUAUUAUAAUAUUAAUAUAAAAUAUUAUAAUUUUCAAUAUGAUUAAACAUACAUAUUUAAUCAUAUAAUAAAUUAUUAAUAUAAAUAAUAUAAUUUAUUAUUUUAAUAAAUUAUUUAAUAUUUUAAUUUUAUUUUAAUAAUAAAUUUUGAAAAUAAUAAAUUUAAAUAAUAUUCUUCACAUAUUAUUAAAAAUAUUCAAUAUUAAAUAUUUUAAUAAUAUAUGUUUUGUACUAUAGAAGUUAAAAUAUGUCAUAAGUCCAUGUAUUCUUCACAAGUUUGAAAUUUAGUCUCUAUACUUUUGUAACACCUCUCACCCGGUCAGGUUGCCGAACCCAGUAACAGGAUGCCACAAUAACUUUUGGAACUUAUACGCAUGCAUACACGAUUUCAAUUAAGAGCAAUUGAAAAUAAUUUAUUAUAUCUUAGGAAAACUUAUUAAACCAAAUCAAAGUGAUUAACUCUGAAACCUCCAAUUCGCUGAGUCUGUGUCCUAACCACAUGGAUUACCUGUUAAGGGAUAAACUAAGAGGGAGAGCUACAAAACACAGUGUGAGUUUUAACUAAAAGUAAACGACGCAACAACAAACAGUCGAUCAAACUUACAAUUACCAUAAUCAAACCAUAAACAGAGAUCAUAUCAGAUUAGCGUAUCAUAUUAUUAUAUCACUAAACAGAUAUGCAAAAUCGUAUUCAUAUGUAAUAUGGUGCAAAAUCCCUCCUAUCCAACCGCUACACCCCAACUCCAUCAUCCAUCUCACACCAAUAAGGGUAUGCUAGACCCUUUCCAACCUCUGCACACCAAUAUUGGGUUAUGAUGGACCCAUCCAACCAAAUCACACCUUGAGGUGGUCGUAAGCCACUUAAAUGUGAUGCAGUCAAGUUGCUAACACUAUUGCAGUUUUAUCGCCAAAUUAUAACAAUACAGUUUAACUACCAAAUCGAACUUCCUUCUCUUCAAUAUCAACCCCAACCAUAAUGCAUAUGCAAAAAUCUCUCAAUACAUAUACAUAUAUAUAUCAAAUCAGACAUUCUCAUAUCCAAUUACAAAAUAGAAAAAUAAACAAUGUGCACAAUUUUCGAUUAUCACAUCCAUACAUUUUCAUAUAUUAGGUUUUGUAUACAACAUCAUAUCAACAACCUAUGCGAGUAACCAUUUUAAAGUUGUGAAUGCAUAUGUAUGAAAAUGUUCUAACAAUAAUACGCCUUUCAUAUACCUACUACAACCAAUAACAGUGUCUCAAUCACUCCUACAGAGGCUUAAAUACACAAUAGAUCACUCAGGGACUAAAAUGAAUUAAUUUGCAAAAAUAGUGACAAAAUUGCAGAAACAGGACCACACGGUCGUGUGGGAAGGUUCAAACGUGUGGUAGGGGUACACGGCCGUAUGACUGAGAUACACGGCAAUGUAAGUAGGUCGUGUAACUCACUAAACCCAUGUGACAAUUUUCAAAACUAAGGAGCAGGGGAGACACGGCCGUGUGGGAACUCCCUAAGCCGUGUGACAAGAAACUUAACCUAUUUUCAUAAGCGACACAUGAUCGUAUGGACCGUCCAUGUGCAGCACACGCCCGUGUGGUUACAAAAACCACCCCAAAUCUUACUGCAAAUCUCGAACAUUAACCACAAAAUCACCCCUAUUUACGAAUGUUCAAGAAAGACACCUGAAAUCGCAAUUCCCAGCACCAAAGAUUGAUAGAUUCGCCUCUACUCUACCAAUCUGAAAACUCAAUAUCACACACAUACAAAACCUAUAAGGAUUUCGACCUUACAAUUAAAAAAGAAUGAAGAAACUGAUCUACAACUCAAAAGAUAGCACUUACACGAUUAAAACUUUUACAAAUGAAAAUGUGGAAGAACGGGAGAGACUCUAACGAAUCAAUAGUAAUCAGGGCUUAAGCGCAAAGACAAAAUGGCACAAAAACUACUAAAAUUUUAGGGUGUUAAUGGGAAAGAAAAAAAACAAAAUUGAAAAGUAAAAGAAGGACAUAAAAGAAAAUUCAAUAAUAAAGAAGAAAACAAAACUGCCAGCCAAAGAGUGAGAGAGAGGGGAACGUUACUAGGAGGAAUUUUAGGGAUUCUUGUUUUCAAAAAUUAAAAUAAAAUAAAUAAGAUAAAAAUAAAUAAAAUCCUAACCUAUCAAGUUUAUUAGAGUUAAAAACCAAAAAUAACUUCCUCUAAGCACACGCAAGGAUUUGAACAUGAGAUUUAAGGGUAAGCUAACCUUACCAGUGAACCAAUAAACUCAUUGUAUCACUAGAACACGCAAACAAACUUAAAAGUUCAACUACCCCUACAAACUUAUCCUACAAACCUUGACGUUUCUAACCCUAAUUUCGGGACGUGAUGGUAAGUAUCGAUACUAAAUAGCAAGUAUCGAUAUUUAGUAAAUUAGGUAUCGAUACUAAUGUAAAAAUCGUAUCUUGCCAAUUUUGGUUUAAAACAUUUUAUCGAUACCUUGGCAAGAGUAUCAGUAUCUUUAUAACAAGUAUUGAUACUCGUGAGUAGGUAUCAAUACCAAAUUAGGCUUCUGUCAAUUUUUUAAAAUGUCUCAUUUUCAUGGUAUCAAUAUUCAUGCCCCGAUUAUCAGUACUUUUACUUAGAAUGCAAAAAAAAAACACAAAAUAAAGUGCUCUUCAUGCUUAAAACAAUGUUCUUACUCCACACACAAUUAUGAUCUAAUUUAACUGAACUUAUUAACAUCUUUUAAACAUUUAUCAUGCCACAUCCAUACAUUUGCAUCAAAAUUACCUAACAUGCAUUAUCAGCCUUAAUCUCAAACAUCAAAUUGUUCAUAAAUGAAGUCCAAAACAACAUCAACAUCCCAUAAGUGAAAUCUUAAAUUUGUGAUAAAUAAAAUGAUGAUAAUAACUAGAACUAGAACUAUAACUCUAACCCACAACACAUUUAUUCAAAGUGUUCAAAAAAUAUAAAACCACCUACUUGAAAGUUUAUUGCCUUGCUAAGAUCACUUCAUUGGCCACUCCACUCACACUGAAAGUGCUGCUUAUCUGCAAAAAUGUUCUGUGGAGAGUGUGAGCUUAAACAAGCUCAGUGAAUAAUUGAAAUUACCACAAGGCAUACAUAACAUCAUACAUAAAGCAAAAGCAACUAAGCACCAUCACAACCAUAUUUACAACAACGUCAAACUAACAUAUUCAUGAUUCGUUAUGUUAUACGUCUAUCUUAUGUACUCACAUGCACAUACAUACAACAUAUUUCGUAUAUAAAUCAUUUAAUGAUAAUUUGGCAACUUGAGAUUAUGAAACAUAAAAGUGAACUCUAUCGCCACACAUCGGAUAGACCACACCAAUGACUCAAAGAGUCUAACAUAUCACAUAAGUGUAACAUAAAGCUAAACACUCUCCAACACACCACAAAGGUGAGUAGUCACUAGGGGUGUUCAAACGGUUAACCGAACCGAACUAGUAUUGUGACAGCCCAAAAUUGACCCUAGUCGGGAAGUGGUUUCGGGACCGCUAAACCGAGUCAUAAAAAUAAUUAGCUGUCAUAUUUGAUGCUUAUUAUAUGUAUAUAUGCAUGUGUGAAAAUUGCAUAUUUGAAUUUUGUUUAAUUGUAGGUGAAUUUUAGUAAAUAGGACUUAUGUGAGAAAAUUUUGAAAUGUGAUAGGUUAAUUUAUAAGGACCUAUUAAAGCAUGUAGUGAGAAUGAUGGGUUUGCAUGUCAAAUUACCCAAAAUUUGAGCUAGUGGCCGGCCAUGCUAUGAGUGGAAACAUGUUGGGAACAUGUUGGCUUAGUGAGGUAUGUUAGAAAAAAAUAAAAUAGGGAGUAUGGGUAAUAAAGAAAUAAAAACAAAAAAAUGUGUGGUUGUUUCCCCCCCCCCCAUGGCCGUGAGCUAAAGAAAAGAAAAAUAAAGGAUAAUAGAAAAACAAAGAGGAAGGAAGGCUCAUCUUUCAUCUCCUUCAUUGCCGAAAUUGAGAAAGGAAAGAUUGAAAAAAAGAAACCAAGGCAUUCGGCCAUGGCUAGUUCGAGGGAAAGGUAUGCAUUGUGAUUUUAUUCUAAUUGAUGUUGAGAUUAAGUUGAUAAGUGUAUAGUCUAGUUAACCCAUAGCUAAAUUCAUGAAUUCAUUGUUGGGAGAUAAGAAUGGAAGUUGCCGUAUGUAUGAGUAUAUAUGCACUUUGGAAAGGAGAUUUUUGGGUGUUAUUUGAGUUCUCUUUAUGUAUGUAUGUGCAUGAGGAUUCGGUCAUGUUAUAGAUUCAUGUUGAAAAAUGUUAAUGAUAUAUGUGUCAUAUAAAUGUACUUGUGAAUGAACUUGAGAAUAUCUAAAUUAUAGGUUGGAGGUGCCGAAUGUAGUGUUGGAUGAGUUUUAAAGCAUAAAAAUUUAGGUGACUAGAGGUUAAUGACAUUCGGCCAAAGGCUUGUGUGCUAGCAAAAUCGGUAUAAAUGUUGUUCGAUGUGUUGAAUUGAGUAAGUUAGAGGUUGGAACACUUAAGGAUUUGGCAUCUCUAUGACAUUAGAUAUAAAUGUAUGAAAGGCUAAGUUUAAGUAGUAAGGCCGAAUAGGUUAUAGAUAAGGCACUUGUGAGUCUUUGGCCAAGCAAUUGACAAAUUAAAUUAGAGUUCUUGUGACGUAUAAUGUCAAGUCUAACUUGGUAUAUUUGGCCACCUAAUUAAGUACAUCGGUGGUGUUGAAUGUAAUCUUACACAUUCGGCCAUAUGGGGUAAAAAUGGGUCGAGUGUUCAUGAGAUGAAAUUAGGUGUUUAAAUAAUGUUAUAGUUGACAUUGUGCAUAUAUACAUGCAUUCGGCCAUCUAAUUGAGUAUGAAGGUGGUGUUAAAUCUAAUUGUAUGCCCAUUCGUGAUGUUACCUUUAAUUAUGUGUAUAAUCGACUAAAUGGGCAAUUAGUGAGGAUGGUUGCCGAAUAUACAAACAUACAUGUGCAUGUGUAAUUGAAUUAUGAAUGUUUAGCUAGAUGGUUAAACUAGUUGAUUUAUUGAUUAAGCUCAAGGAGUUAAAGGAGGAGAAUCAAGCAAAGGCAAAGAAAAGAUCAUUGAGUAGCCGAGUUGGAACCGUCCUACCCAACACAAAGUAAGUCAUUAAGCAUAUAGUUUGUAUUAAUUUAAAUGAUCAUAAUGUCUAUGUAAUGGUGCUGAAUGGAAUGAUAAAUAUAUAUAUACAUGUAUGUAUGUGGUGAUGAAAGUGUUGGAUGAAGAGAAAAGAGGUGAGAUGUAUUGAGUUGUUGAUCUCGGCACUAAGAGUGCGGGUAUAAACAUUUAUGAUCAUGAGAUUGGCGCUAAGUGUGCGGGUUUAAAUUGUACAGCACUAAGUGUGCGAGUUUGAUUAUGUAGCACUAAGUGUGCGAGCUUGAUUAUGUAGCACUAAGUGUGCGAGCUUGAUUAUGUAGCACUAAGUGUGCGAGUUGAUUAUAUAGCACUAAGUGUGCGGACUUAAUAUAUAUUUUUAAAUCACUAUGGGCACUAAGUGUGCGACAUUAUUGAGUUAAUCACGGACAGCGGAUCGGGUAAGUACCUUGAGUUCAUGGCUAAUAGGCGCUAUGUUUAUAUUUGGAGUUGAGCUUGGUAAGUUUGAACCUAUGUGACAAAUAUACUUGAAGUCACGUACAUAAGAUUUAUCGUGGAAUAGGUGAAAGGCCGUUUAGUUGUAUGAUUGUAACGAAAAUAAAAUGAUGUAUGAAAAUGCCUCAAAUAUCCUAUUGAUUAGUGUAUGGAAUGUGAAUGCAUGAUUUGGUAUGAGAUUGAACCGAUAGGUCUGAGGAACUAUGGCAUGGUUCGGUAUGGAUGGAGUAACUAGCCUCGUUCCAUUUUGUUUCCUCUUGUGAUAAUGUUAUUAAUGGAUGGUAGUGCAUUGCUUAUGACUUACUGAGUUAUAUACUCACUCGGUGUUUCCUUGUCACCUAUUCUAGGUUUCUUGGACUCGUCUCUUUUUGCGUGAUCGGGCCGUCAUCGAAGUCAUCACACCGGCUAGCAACUCUUGGUAUCUUCUUUUUAGUGGGUCUAGGAGAACAUUUCGGCAUGUAUAGGCUAUUAUGUUGUGUUUGAACUUUGGUAUGUAAACUUUUAGCCAUGCGAAAAUGGCAUAAAUGUUCGGUUGGGUUUGGUUUCAUAACGUUAGGUCGUAAAUCUUGAUAAUUCGACCUUUUUAUGCCAUAUGUCAUGGUUGAUUAUUUUGGUGUUAAAAUUCAUGAUAUGGCAAUAGUGUAGUAGGGAGAUGUUUGACAAUGAUUAGCCUUUGGCAUGGCUAGUCACGAUCAUAAUUGGUGAUAUGUAUGAUGAAUUACUAGUUAGAUCAAGGAGAAAUCACGAAAUAGGCAUAGUUGCUUUCGUAACAGAUGCUGGCAGCAGCAGUGACGUGAGAUUGAAAAUCACUAAAAAUAGUAGGAGUGGAAUUAAUUGAUGAAUAAAUUAUGUAACCGAAGCUUGAUGAGUCUAUUUUCAUAUAGAAGUAACGAAACGAUCAUAUGGACAGUAUGUUAAGAGAUAUUCAGGUUCUCGUGAGACAGGGCCAGAACGGUUUCUGGAUUCCCUGUUCCGACUUUGGAAAUUCAUUAUAAAUUAACCAGAGAUAAUUAGGAGUCAUUCCAUAUAUGUACAGAUUCCUCUCUGAGUCUAGUUUCUAUAGAAACAAACGACAUCAGUAUUGAAGCUCUGUGCAGGGAGAUAUCCAAUUCGUAAUGCGCAAGGGUCAGUGUAGUCGAUCCCUGUAACAUGGGAAACUUUUACUAAUAAACUGUACUAAUUGGCCUGACCAAAAAUUCUACGAAAAUUCUACCAUAUAAGUAUAUGAGUCUAGUUCUAGGGAAAAUUUACGGAACUGGAUUUUGAGUUUCAAAACUCAAGAUAUGAUUUUUAAAGCAACUAGUACGCAGAUUAACAGCUUGUCUGGGAAAUGUCAAAUAAGUGGUUUGAAGUCUGUUAACACCUCGUGUUCGACUCCGGCGACGGUCUCGGGUUUGGGGUGUUACAAUUUUAUUGGUAUCAGAGCUAUGGUUUAGUCGGUUCUAGGACUACCAUAGCGCGUAUGAGUCUAGCUAUACAUGCCUUAAUGUUAAUGUUUAAAUGUGUGAUGACUUCUGACGGUUAAAAUGUUUUUGUUUUGAUUAGUAAAUGGACCCCGCUGUAGAAAGAACCUUAGCGGAUGACGUUGAAAGUGUAGCGGCUGCUCCUGCACAAGGGACACCGCCUGUUGAACCUCAUUCAUCUGCGAAUAAUCAAGGUGAGGGGGCUAAACAAGCCUUCUUUACCAUGAUGAAUGAGUGGGUCGCGCAAUAUGCCCGAACCAAUCCGGCUGUCCAACAAUUCCCGAAUUUGAAUAAUCCACCCCAAGAGCCCGUAAUGCCAUCAGUCACUGAUCCUGUGAGACUGAGUAAGCCACCUGUAGACUUGAUUAGGAAGCGCGGGGCUGAGGAGUUCAAGGCCAUAGUUACUGAUGAUGCCGAAAGGGCCGAGUUCUGGCUUGAUAACACCAUUCGAGUGUUCGAUGAACUGUCAUGCACACCCGAUGAAUGUCUAAAGUGUGCUAUAUCUUUGUUGCAAGACUCAGCCUACUAUUGGUGGAGGACCUUGAUUUCCAUAGUCCCAAACGAACGAGUUACUUGGGAUUUCUUCCAAGCGGAAUUUCGAAAGAAAUAUAUUAGUCAACGGUUCAUCGAUCAAAAGCGUAAGGAAUUCUUGGAACUCAAGCAAGGCCGUAUGACAGUGUCUGAAUACGAACAUGAAUUUGUAAGACUCAGUAGGUAUGCCCGGGAGUGUGUAGCUGAUGAGGUUGCUAUGUGCAAAAGAUUCGAAGAAGGAUUGAAUGAAGAUUUAAAGCUAUUAGUGGGUAUUUUGGAGAUAAAAGAAUUCGUGACACUAGUCGAACGAGCCUGCAAGGCGGAAGAACUUGGAAAGGGGAAGAAGAAGGCUGAAUUUGAAGCUAGAGACUAUCGUAAAAGAUCGACGGGUAAAGCUCCGUUCUCAGCUGUAAAGAAGUUCAGGGAGGACACUAAUAAGUCGAGGAUGACUGCGGGAAUUUUCAUCAGAGCACGACCAUCGACGGACUCCCGAGCUACUUCGGUAGCUAGUGUGGGCAAUAAUCGUCUAGAGAAACCUGAAUGUCCCCAAUGUGGAAGACGACACAUAGGUGAAUGUUGGGGUAAGUCUAUUAACAGGGCCUGUUACGGAUGCGGUUCAAAGGACCACUUCAUUAGAGAUUGCACGGAGUUGGAUGAGAAGAAUAAAAUUCAAGGUGCAAGACCUAGUGGAGUGACAACUAGAGGUAGACCACCGAGAAAUUUAGGAGGUAGGGGUGGUAGUCAGAGAGGGGCCUCUGAUACGGCUGUUCGAGCCGAGAACCGUACUCCUGCUAGAGCAUAUGCCAUUCGCGCACGAGAGGAGGCAUCCUCCCCUGACGUCAUCACUGGUACCUUCACUCUCUUUGAUACUAAUAUGAUUGCAUUGAUUGACCCUGGCUCUACUCAUUCAUAUGUAUGCGAAACCUUAGCAUCCAGUAAGACUCUACCUGUUGAGUCUACUGAGUUCGUAAUUCGAGUGUCAAACCCUUUGGGUCAAUGCGUACUUGUUGAUAAAGUGUGUAAGAGAUGCCCUCUAAUAAUCCGAGAAUCCUGUUUUCCGGCCGAUUUGAUGCUUUUGCUGUUUGACGAAUUUGAUGUUAUUCUUGGUUUGGAUUGGUUGACCACGCAUGAUGCGGUUGUGAAUUGCAAAAGCAAGACUAUUGAUUUGAGGUGCACAAAUAACGAGAUAAUCCGAGUUGAGUCUACAGACUUAAGGGGGUUGCCAGCUGUAAUAUCAGCAAUGUUGGCCCAGAAAUAUGUAAGAAAAGGGUGCGAAGCAUACCUUGCGUAUGUACUUGAUGACAAAGAAUUAGAAAAGAAACCCGAAUAUGUGCCGGUGGAUUGUGAAUACCCGGAUGUUUUUCCUGAAGAGUUACCGGGUUUGCCACCUGUUCGGGAGAUAGAGUUUGGUAUUGAGCUUGUACCUGGAACUACGCCAAUUUCGAUAGCUCCGUAUCGUAUGGCACUAACCGAGUUAAAAGAAUUGAAAGCUCAAUUGCAAGAGUUGACGGAUAGAGGUUUCGCUCGACCAAGUUUCUCACCUUGGGGUGCACCAGUAUUGUUCGUGAAAAAGAAGGACGGAACCAUGAGGUUGUGCAUUGACUAUCGUCAACUGAAUAAAGUGACGAUAAAGAAUAAAUAUCCGUUACUGCGUAUUGAUGAUUUGUUUGAUCAAUUAAAGGGAGCAUCAGUGUUUUCAAAGAUAGAUUUGAGAUCGG